rnacentral:misc_RNA from 1 species
UCCUCUUUACAGAGGCAGUUCGUUCCGAGUCCCCGACUUUACUCGCUGGUAACAGAACGUGAGGGUUGCGCUCGUUGCGGGACUUAACCCAACAUUUCACAACACGAGCUGACGACAGCCAUGCACCACCUGUGAAUCACCUUCGAAAGCGACUCGCUUUCACGAGCUUGCAGAUCCAUGUCAAGCCCUGGUAAGGUUCUUCGCGUUGCAUCGAAUUAAGCCAUAUGCUCCACCGCUUGUGCGGGCCCCCGCCAAUUCCUUUGAGUUUCAACCUUGCGGCCGUAGUCCCCAGGCGGUUCACUUAAUGCGUUAGCUGCGGCACCGAGGGAAACCCCCAACACCUAGUGAACAUCGUUUAUGGCCAAGACUAC